UACGUAGGUGACAAGCGUUUGUCCGGGAUUUACUGGGCGUAAAGAGCGCGCAGGCGGUCGAUCAAGUCGAGUGUGAAAGCCCCCGGCUCAACUGGGGAGGGUCAUUCGAUACUGAUCGACUCGAAGGCAGGAGAGGGUAGUGGAAUUCCCGGGUGUAGUGGUGAAAUGCGUAGAUAUCGAGAGGAACACCUGCGGCGAAGGCGGGUUGCUGGGCUGAUACUGACGCUGAUGCGCGAAAGCCAGGGGAGCGAACGGG
rnacentral:rRNA from 1 species